UGAAUACGAGAUGCUACGGCGUCGAAGCAGUGUAUGUCAGACUUCCAAGAAAAGCUCGCAAUGUCAUAAAUAAAGAAUGCCUGUACCAUAACCGACACAGGUGGGUAGGUAGAGUAUACUAAGGGGCGCGAGAUAACUCUCUCUAAGGAACUCGGCAAAAUAACUCCGUAACUUCGGGAGAAGGAGUGCCUUCUUUAAGAAGGUUGCAAUAACAAGAUCCAAGCAACUGUUUAUCAAAAACACAGGUCUCCGCUAAGUCGUAAGACGAUGUAUGGGGGCUGACGCCUGCCCAGUGCCAGAAGGUUAAAGAAGUUGGUUAGCUUUUGCGAAGCUGAUGACUGAAGCCCUGGUGAACGGCGGCCGUAACAAUAACGGUCCUAAGGUAGCGAAAUUCCUUGUCGGGUAAGUUCCGACCCGCACGAAAGGCGUAAUGAUUUGGAUACUGUCUCGGAGAGGGACUCGGUGAAAUAGACUUGUCUGUGAAGAUGCGGACUACCUGCACCAGGACAGAAAGACCCUAUGAAGCUUUACUGUAACUUGAAAUUGAAAUUGGACUUUAUUUGCGCAGUAUAGGUGGAAGGCGUUGAAAGUAAUCUUGCGGGAUUAGUGGAGCCAUCAGUGAGAUACCACUCCUAUAAUGUUAGAUUUCUAACUUUGGAUCAUGAUCUGGUCAAAGAACAGUUUCAGGCGGGCAGUUUGACUGGGGCGGUCGCCUCCCAAAUGGUAACGGAGGCGUACAAAGGUUUCCUCUGAACGGGUAGAAAUCGUAUCUAGAGUGUAAAGGCAUAAGGAAGCUUGACUGUGAGACCUACAAGUCGAGCAGGGACGAAAGUCGGUCUUAGUGAUCUGACGGUGCUGAGUGGAAAGGCCGUCACUCAACGGAUAAAAGUUACUCUAGGAUAACAGGCUGAUCUCCCCCAAGAGUUCACAUCGACGGGGAGGUUUGGCACCUCGAUGUCGGCUCAUCGCAUCCUGGGGCGGUAGUACGUCCCAAGGGUUGGGCUGUUCGCCCAUGAAAGCGGUACGCGAGCUGGGUUCAGAACGUCGUGAGACAGUUCGGUCCAUAUCCGGUGUAGGCGUUAGAAUAUUGAGAGGAGCCUUCUUUAGUACGAGAGGACCGAGAAGGACAUACCUCUGGUGUACCAGUUAUCGUGCCAACGGUAAACGCUGGGUAGCUAUGUAUGGAGAGGAUAACCGCUGAAAGCAUCUAAGUGGGAAGCCCACCUCAAGAUGAGUAUUCUCA
rnacentral:rRNA from 1 species